rnacentral:rRNA from 1 species
GACGUAGGGCGCGAGCGUUUGUCCGGAUUUAUUGGGCGUAAAGAGCUCGUAGGCGGCUUGUUGCGUCAGCUGUGAAAACCCGCAGCUCAACUGUGGGCUUGCAGCUGAUACGGGCAGGCUUGAGUCGGUGAGGGGAGGACUGGAAGUUCCUGGAUGUAGCGGUGAAAUACGCAGAGUAUCAGGAGGAACACCGGUGGCGAAAGGCGGGUCUCUGGGCCGAUACUGACGCUGAGGAGCGAAAGCGUGGGGAGCGAACAGG